ensembl:lncRNA novel transcript, antisense to GALNT12
GCCUUCCCUCCCAGCAGCAAAAGCAGUCAGAGGACGAUGUUCCCUAGUCUAAUCUGCUCUUUCCUUCCUUCAUUCAUUCAAUCAAUCAUUCACGCAGCUGGCCAGCAGACACUGGAUGACCACCCCUGGGCCAGGCCUUGUGGCAAAUGCUACAGUAAUGACCAGACACAUCACACCCGCCUUCUAGAAGCCCUCCCUCACAAACCGGAUCAACUGCUAUGAUAAAGCAAAUUCUAGAUCCCAGAACUAGUGCUCUUAGAGCCAAGGCCAGCCGAUCCAAGUCUGGACUACUGCUCAGAUGAGCCGAGCCUGAAUUUGGGAGUGGUUGUUACAGAGCAUUACCCUGGCAAUAACUGACUGAUGCAGAGAUGUAAAUAGACAUCACUGGUGGAGCCCCCAGGAAAGCUCUUUAACAGAAGACAGACUCAGCUGGCAGGUUUCCCGUCUCCUUGAAUGAAGACAGGCUCAAUGCUUGGAGGGGUGAGAGGAGGCAGCCAUCUUACAACCACAGGUCACAGGAAGACACUAAACAAGGCCGUGUGGAAAGACAGAAGGAGCCUCCAUCCCUCAGCACCACAGAGACAUUGUAUCAGCCUAGAAAUGCCUAAAUCUGAACUUCCUCUUACCUAAGAAAAAUAAAACCUCAAUUUGAUU